rnacentral:misc_RNA from 1 species
CCAGGUCGCGGCGGCCCAGAAGGAGGCUGAGGCGACAUUCAACCGGCGGUUUGCGAACCGCAACAGUUACGCGAUGGUGGAGACGAAGUCGAUCUUCUUCGACUUCAGCAAGGCGGAUCUGCGGGACGAGG